UUAGCUCAUUGGAGGUGGGAGAAUUAAAGAGAAUAGAGACGGUGGUUGGCACCUUCCCAAUGCAUUUUCUAUCUCGCUUCUUAAUCUUUUUCUAUCUCGCUUCUUAAUCUUUUUGGAAUUCCCACAUGUACACUUUUUUGUGGACGGAGGGAGUAGAUCUGCAAGAAAUAGGCUAACUCCUGCCCGAGCUGAGGCUUUUUAGUGUUCUCAUAUGGAAGUGGACCAAGCAAGAUGUGGGAUGUUGGGGGAGAUGGAGUUGAGAGCUUCACUGGUGUUGGCAUGCUUGAAGGUGCUGAACUUUCACUUGAUAAACCAGAGUAGGAAGGGGAGAUAUUGGAUGAUAUCACUUGAGGCUUCGGUCCUUCACCUUUUGCUUCAAGGCUUCCGGUUAUCUUAUUUAUGUUCCUUUCAUCAUGUACUGUAAUGCAAUCUUUGACUAUGGUUUGUUCUUUGUGGCCACUUGAGCCUUGUAUACUCGUACUUACCAUCAUGUUAUGUUAGUGGACUUUAUAUUUUUGUCUAGUGUUACUUGCUAUAUAUGCUAUGUUCUUCUAUGUUUUGUAGGAUUAUUGCUAUUGAAGCAUUGAGGAACAGGAAGUAGGCACGCAUCAAAUGGGGCAGUAUCUUUUGUUCUCUUACUAAUUACAUUUUUUAAUUAUUCCCCGUAUCUGGAAAAUGCCGUAUCCCGUGUCCCCGUAUGCGUGUCGCCGUGUCCGUGUAGCUGUGUCGGUGCAAUGUAGCUUGUCAGUGAGUGUUUUGACACGUUUGUCCCACAACUUCUAUUUCUGUUGGAAGUGUGGCUAUGUGUUACACCUGCCAUAUGACUUUUGGUACUCUGUUUUUUAUAGGUAUUAAUGUAGUUUUGUGAAAAUAUUACAUCUGAAAUUGUGGUUAUGUGAAAUACUGAAAUGUUACAUGUGAAAGUUUGAUUGUUGGAGAGAUUAGUUUCAUGAAAUGAUUUUAUCUAGGGUUAAUUGGAUAUAUGCCAUUAUAAUUUCCACCGGUUGGAGAUAUGCCAUUACAAAAACUUGACUCGGAGAAAUGCCACUCUAACUUUUAUAUACCUCUAUUCAUGCAAUUUUCUCCAAUACCAACACGUAUAUUGUCUAAAUACGUAUAGACAUAGCUCUAUACGAACAAUUUUUUUCCCAUCCCAAGUCAAACAAUUUUAUUCCACGCGUUCCUCAUAUCCCGUCCCCAACGGUGGACUCAUAUUACGGUUUUUUAUUUUCUGUAAUUUUUAUAGAUUUUUCUGAGAAGAUUGAUUUUUGGGCCAAAUUUGAUUUUUUUAACCUUUAUGGCGUCUGGAAAACUCGAACGUACUGCUGAACAUUGUAAAUAGGGGUAUUAUGGUAAAUACUGUUGUACACGUUGAAAUUCAUGUAUUUUAUGAACACUUAUUGGUCUUAAGUGGACAGAAUGGCAUUGAUAGAGGUAUAAGAAAGUUAGAGUGACAUUUCUCCAAAUCAAGUUUUUGUAAUGCCAUAUCUCCAACCAAUGAAAUGGAGUGACAUAGAUCCAAUUAACCCUUUUAUCUAUGUGUAGUUUGAUGUGGCAAUGAAGCGUAGUUACAUGAUAGUUUCUAGCAUUCCCAAGUGUCCAAUAAAUCUCUACUAGCAUUAACACACAGUUUACCCAUCCCUCACGGUCCAGUCGCUGUGGGCCGUCGAAUAUGAUCUCUAUGAAUGUCCCAGAUUACCCCUCUCCAGCGAACGAAAAAAACAUGAAGAAACCGCCCCACGCCGGCUCUUCUCCCCACUCCCCACGCGGUCGCGCCGCCUGUCGCGCCACCUCUUCUCCCACACGCCGCCUGCCACCGCCCCUCCACCUCCUCUCUCCCUCUGCUCGCCGCCUCAUCUCCCAAUUUCUGGCCACCGCCAGCCAUUCGCUCCCUCAUCUCCCUCGUACGCUCGUCGCGCGCCACUCCGGCUCCCACGGCACGCGUUCCUCGUCGUCUGCCUCGUGUCCUAUGGGCUCCACCUGCUGCUGUGUUCCAAGCUCCACGCCUUGCCGCCGGCCUCCACUUCCCAGCGUCCAUCAUCCGUGCGAGAUCACGAGGUGCAAACUGCCCCUCUACCACGCCAUCGUCCUCCGCCAACCCCAACCCCACCACCACCGCCGCCGACACCUCCCGCUUCGGGUCCUACCCACCGCGACUGCCACCCAAGGCACCCAUGGCGGCAAAAGGAGAGGAGGUCCGUAGGAUGGUGGGAAGAAGAGGAAGGAGUGCAGGAGAAGUUGCUGAAGGGGCAACAUCGCAGUGACGGCCAAGAAACCGUCGAGGUACUUGGCAAAGGAGAAUUGAAAUGGAUUAGGUGCCAGACUAUGAACUGAUUAGGCGGGACAGAAUGGCCAGAAACAAGCAAUUAAUGAAGGAAGGUAACUUACUAACUUUCCUGGUUUACCUUAUAUAGAAAAGCUAGCUCCAAGCCUUAUCGCAACAAUCCUCAAGAACAAAACAAGGACAAACACCAUGAUGACUCUGGUUCUAGUUCUGAUUUCGAUCCAAAUGCCCAAGAUGAGACAGUCGAUGCGGAGGAUGAGCCACAUGGUGCUAAGUGCAAAGCUAAGGUGCUCAAUAACCACAUCACUAAAACUGAAAAAUUGAAACCUGCUUGACACUCUUCUAGCCUGAGACAGAUCUCCUUAUUUCCUUUUGUUUUUGCCAUCUAUUUCAACUGAGAAACGAUUUAGGAUUUUUACUCUUUGUUGUCGGCAAAGCAGAAAACAUCUUAUUUUCAAUAUUUUAGUAUUCUCAGUCUAUGUUUGCCUUAAAAAUUGGACAUCGGGACGAUAUGGGUUCCGUCGCGAAACACGGGCACCUUGCUACUGUAUAGAAAAUUAUACAGUCGUAGAUGGAUUCCUGACAACCAGCUACAAGCCAGUAAUAGUUCAGAGUAACCAAUGUGAAAUUAAAUAAGGAUAUCAUGUCCAUUAAGGCAUUAACUCUAUGCAAAUUGGCCUAACACGUACAGUUAAUGAGCCAUAAUACUAGUUAUCAACCUCUACACUUGUAUAGACUUUUAAAGAGCACAUAAAAAUCAAUAGUUUUUAAAGAAUCACUCUCUGAAGUGUUGAGGCUCGCUCAAGUUGAAGCGUUCUGAAGUGCUGGGGACCUCGGAAGUGUUGAUGCCAUCUCAUGUAAUGAAGCUCUCUGCUGGGUUGUUUAGGUUGUAGUUCUGGUGGUUGAAUUGUCUGUCUUUCUGUUGGUUCUGUACUGUUAAACUGUUUUUGGUGGUUCUCCUUGUGUUAGGGUUGAGUGGGAGGGGCAGGUUUUCGUCCCGUAGUCAGUUUCUGAUUGCGGAAGCUGGUCAGCGGGUUUCCUGCCCAUUUAGUAGGUUUAUUUCUGUUUUUCCCCUGCUUGUCGGUUUGUUCGCAGACUUUGUAUUUCCGUUAGCAAUAAUGGAAAGGGGGGAGACCCCAGGUGAAUAAUUUUUGAACAAAA